GUCGACGGCAAUGCUUCGCACGCGUAUCCACUAUGCGCCGUUCAGUUACUGUUCGACCGUACGCGUGACGGGUGUGUUUGAGCGCAUCGAACGGCGAGUAAAACAGUGAAACGGCAGCGCAGCGCACAGCCAAACAGCAAAUACGGUGUUGUGUGAAGUGUGUGGCAAGGCUUGGCAUUAGCUGCUGAUUAACAUAAUUGAGACCAGCUGCUGGACGGCUGUUGGCUUUUGAUGAAAUAAAACGCAAAAGUAAAAAAAAAAAGUUUUAUUUGCGAAAAAAUUGCAUGUUAAAUUCAAAAUAGUGAAUAAAAAUGAAAUAUCUGAUAUUUUAUUAAAAAUUUGUUGCAGUGUCGCUUGCGUGUGUCUAACAGUCGGCGAAAUCAACACACACCAGUUAAACAGUAAAAGUAACGGAUAGUGUGUUUACAUAAGGCCCCCAAAGGAUUAUUUAAAAUUUGCGUGCAAUUUAUAAUCUUUUUAAUACCAUUUGUGGAAAAAAAGAAAUAUACUUCAAAAUAAAGAAUUAAAUGAAGAAAAAUAAAAAAUUAAAUAAAGAAAUGUAAAAAUAACACCCUGUACGUAGCGGCGACGCCACACACAAGCAUUAAUAAGCAGCUGACAUGGUGAAAUCUACAGCUUCCUGCGGAAGUUAUUACGUUUGCGAAUGAGCUGCUGAAUGCGCAAUGCAGGCGCAAUAUCACAAAAAAACUGUGAAUGAUUUAUUUCAAAACAUUUGAAGCCACUGAAUAAAUUAAGCACAUAAGUAACGGCGGAUUCCCAAGCGUAGCAG